ACACUACUUGGGGCCCCUCUUCUUUCCAGCCCUUCUCCUGUGUGCCUGCCUCCUGCCGCCGCCACCAUGACCACCUCCAUCCGCCAGUUCACCUCCUCCAGCUCCAUCAAGGGCUCCUCUGGCCUGGGGGGCGGCUCGUCCCGCACCUCCUGCCAGCUGUCUGGCGGCCUGGGUGCCGGCUCCUGCAGGCCGGGAUCUGCUGGUGGCCUGGGCAGCGCCCUCGGGGGUAGCAGCUACUCCAGCUGCUACAGCUUUGGCUCUGGCGGUGGCUAUGGCAGCAGCAGCUUUGAGGGCGUUGAUGGGCUGCUGGUCGGAGGUGAGAAGGCCACCAUGCAGAACCUCAAUGACCGCCUGGCCUCCUACCUGGACAAGGUGCGUGCCCUGGAGGAGGCCGACACUGAGCUGGAGGUAAAGAUCCGUGACUGGUACCAGAGGCAGGCCCCGGGGCCCGCCCGUGACUACAGCCAGUACUACAGGAUAAUCGAGGAGCUGCAGAACAAGCCACCGUGGACAAUGCCAACAUCCUGCUACAUAUUGACAAUGCCCAUCUGGCUGCUGCUGACUUCCGCACCAAAGUCCUGGCAAAAUGAAGGCAGGUGAGCAGCCAGGACCUGGACCUG
rnacentral:lncRNA from 1 species